rnacentral:rRNA from 1 species
UACGUAGGGCGCAAGCGUUGUCCGGAAUUAUUGGGCGUAAAGAGCUCGUAGGUGGUUUGUCGCGUCUGCCGGUGAAAGCCCGGGCUUAACUCCGGGUCUGCGGUGGAUACGGGCAGACUAGAGGCAGGUAGGGGAGAACGGAAUUCCCGGUGUAGCGGUGAAAUGCGUAGAUAUCGUAAGGAAGACCAGUGGCGAAGGCGGGUCUCUGGACAGUUCCUGACGCUGAGGCACGAAGGCCAGGGGAGCAAACGGG